rnacentral:rRNA from 1 species
UACGUAGGGUCCGAGCGUUGUCCGGAAUUACUGGGCGUAAAGAGCUCGUAGGUGGUUUGUCGCGUUGUUCGUGAAAACUCACAGCUCAACUGUGGGCGUGCGGGCGAUACGGGCAGACUAGAGUACUGCAGGGGAGACUGGAAUUCCUGGUGUAGCGGUGGAAUGCGCAGAUAUCAGGAGGAACACCGGUGGCGAAGGCGGGUCUCUGGGCAGUAACUGACGCUGAGGAGCGAAAGCGUGGGGAGCGAUCCGG